GGGUUGUGAGGUUAAGCGACUAAGCGUACACGGUGGAUGCCCUGGCAGUCAGAGGCGAUGAAGGACGUGCUAAUCUGCGAUAAGCGUCGGUAAGGUGAUAUGAACCGUUAUAACCGGCGAUUUCCGAAUGGGGAAACCCAGUGUGUUUCGACACACUAUCAUUAACUGAAUCCAUAGGUUAAUGAGGCGAACCGGGGGAACUGAAACAUCUAAGUACCCCGAGGAAAAGAAAUCAACCGAGAUUCCCCCAGUAGCGGCGAGCGAACGGGGAGGAGCCCAGAGCCUGAAUCAGUGUGUGUGUUAGUGGAAGCGUCUGGAAAGGCGCGCGAUACAGGGUGACAGCCCCGUACACAAAAAUGCACAUGCUGUGAGCUCGAUGAGUAGGGCGGGACACGUGGUAUCCUGUCUGAAUAUGGGGGGACCAUCCUCCAAGGCUAAAUACUCCUGACUGACCGAUAGUGAACCAGUACCGUGAGGGAAAGGCGAAAAGAACCCCGGCGAGGGGAGUGAAAAAGAACCUGAAACCGUGUACGUACAAGCAGUGGGAGCCUCUUUUAUGGGGUGACUGCGUACCUUUUGUAUAAUGGGUCAGCGACUUAUAUUCUGUAGCAAGGUUAACCGAAUAGGGGAGCCGAAGGGAAACCGAGUCUUAACUGGGCGUUAAGUUGCAGGGUAUAGACCCGAAACCCGGUGAUCUAGCCAUGGGCAGGUUGAAGGUUGGGUAACACUAACUGGAGGACCGAACCGACUAAUGUUGAAAAAUUAGCGGAUGACUUGUGGCUGGGGGUGAAAGGCCAAUCAAACCGGGAGAUAGCUGGUUCUCCCCGAAAGCUAUUUAGGUAGCGCCUCGUGAAUUCAUCUCCGGGGGUAGAGCACUGUUUCGGCAAGGGGGUCAUCCCGACUUACCAACCCGAUGCAAACUGCGAAUACCGGAGAAUGUUAUCACGGGAGACACACGGCGGGUGCUAACGUCCGUCGUGAAGAGGGAAACAACCCAGACCGCCAGCUAAGGUCCCAAAGUCAUGGUUAAGUGGGAAACGAUGUGGGAAGGCCCAGACAGCCAGGAUGUUGGCUUAGAAGCAGCCAUCAUUUAAAGAAAGCGUAAUAGCUCACUGGUCGAGUCGGCCUGCGCGGAAGAUGUAACGGGGCUAAACCAUGCACCGAAGCUGCGGCAGCGACGCUUAUGCGUUGUUGGGUAGGGGAGCGUUCUGUAAGCCUGUGAAGGUGUGCUGUGAGGCAUGCUGGAGGUAUCAGAAGUGCGAAUGCUGACAUAAGUAACGAUAAAGCGGGUGAAAAGCCCGCUCGCCGGAAGACCAAGGGUUCCUGUCCAACGUUAAUCGGGGCAGGGUGAGUCGACCCCUAAGGCGAGGCCGAAAGGCGUAGUCGAUGGGAAACAGGUUAAUAUUCCUGUACUUGGUGUUACUGCGAAGGGGGGACGGAGAAGGCUAUGUUGGCCGGGCGACGGUUGUCCCGGUUUAAGCGUGUAGGCUGGUUUUCCAGGCAAAUCCGGAAAAUCAAGGCUGAGGCGUGAUGACGAGGCACUACGGUGCUGAAGCAACAAAUGCCCUGCUUCCAGGAAAAGCCUCUAAGCAUCAGGUAACAUCAAAUCGUACCCCAAACCGACACAGGUGGUCAGGUAGAGAAUACCAAGGCGCUUGAGAGAACUCGGGUGAAGGAACUAGGCAAAAUGGUGCCGUAACUUCGGGAGAAGGCACGCUGAUAUGUAGGUGAAGCGACUUGCUCGUGGAGCUGAAAUCAGUCGAAGAUACCAGCUGGCUGCAACUGUUUAUUAAAAACACAGCACUGUGCAAACACGAAAGUGGACGUAUACGGUGUGACGCCUGCCCGGUGCCGGAAGGUUAAUUGAUGGGGUCAGCGCAAGCGAAGCUCUUGAUCGAAGCCCCGGUAAACGGCGGCCGUAACUAUAACGGUCCUAAGGUAGCGAAAUUCCUUGUCGGGUAAGUUCCGACCUGCACGAAUGGCGUAAUGAUGGCCAGGCUGUCUCCACCCGAGACUCAGUGAAAUUGAACUCGCUGUGAAGAUGCAGUGUACCCGCGGCAAGACGGAAAGACCCCGUGAACCUUUACUAUAGCUUGACACUGAACAUUGAGCCUUGAUGUGUAGGAUAGGUGGGAGGCUUUGAAGUGUGGACGCCAGUCUGCAUGGAGCCGACCUUGAAAUACCACCCUUUAAUGUUUGAUGUUCUAACGUUGACCCGUAAUCCGGGUUGCGGACAGUGUCUGGUGGGUAGUUUGACUGGGGCGGUCUCCUCCUAAAGAGUAACGGAGGAGCACGAAGGUUGGCUAAUCCUGGUCGGACAUCAGGAGGUUAGUGCAAUGGCAUAAGCCAGCUUGACUGCGAGCGUGACGGCGCGAGCAGGUGCGAAAGCAGGUCAUAGUGAUCCGGUGGUUCUGAAUGGAAGGGCCAUCGCUCAACGGAUAAAAGGUACUCCGGGGAUAACAGGCUGAUACCGCCCAAGAGUUCAUAUCGACGGCGGUGUUUGGCACCUCGAUGUCGGCUCAUCACAUCCUGGGGCUGAAGUAGGUCCCAAGGGUAUGGCUGUUCGCCAUUUAAAGUGGUACGCGAGCUGGGUUUAGAACGUCGUGAGACAGUUCGGUCCCUAUCUGCCGUGGGCGCUGGAGAACUGAGGGGGGCUGCUCCUAGUACGAGAGGACCGGAGUGGACGCAUCACUGGUGUUCGGGUUGUCAUGCCAAUGGCACUGCCCGGUAGCUAAAUGCGGAAGAGAUAAGUGCUGAAAGCAUCUAAGCACGAAACUUGCCCCGAGAUGAGUUCUCCCUGACUCCUUGAGAGUCCUGAAGGAACGUUGAAGACGACGACGUUGAUAGGCCGGGUGUGUAAGCGCAGCGAUGCGUUGAGCUAACCGGUACUAAUGAACCGUGAGGCUUAACCUUACAACGCCGAAGGUGUUU
rnacentral:rRNA from 2 species